GCUGAGAAAUUCUAUCUGCAUUCUUGGGCCUUGCCUUGUCUGGUCCAAGAACUGGCCAUGACUGGGGGAAGGAAAGAACCAGGAGAGCGUCUAGAGUCAUUCCAGGGCACCCUCAAAGUGUCCCCAAAGCCAGCCUCCCACCGGCUAGCUGUGAUCCUUUCCACCAAACCAUUCUUCCCUCCCCUAUGCCUAAAAGUCCCCGUUCUGUGUCUGGCAUCCUUUCUUUGCACCCUGUUCCUACUGAGCUCACAGGUCAGCUCUUCCCCAUUCUCCCCCAAGGGGCACCCCAGCUCCCAGAGCUUGAACAAGCUGAGGCCUCUCAGCUCUAUGCUCCAGCGUUGGGUUAAGGCAUAACCCUACAGCUCCCGGAGGAACCCAGGAGGGGUUGCCCAGAAAACCACAGGAAUGGGCCUGGUCAGGGCAGUACCUGAAGACUUGCUCGCCCCAGCCGGCAAGACCAGGACGUUGAGGUCCCAUCUGCCCAUAUUUCAGAGGAGGAGGCUGCGGCCAGAGGCGAACAACCCAGGGCACAACUGUACUCACAGUAGAAGAGGCCGUAGAUGGUGGCAGCAGCCGUGAAGGAGCCCAGGAACUGACCCAGCACGUAUAUAGGAAACUUCUUCCAGGACAUGCGACCUAGUGCACAGCUAGUGAAGAGGCUGCCCCUUCUUUUCCUGGACCUGAACCCUCCAUAAGAUGCAACGAGCAUGGCUACAGGUCCUGUGAAGGGCAGAGGCUCACUGGGAGAGCUGAGCCUGAGAGGGAGAGAGGUAGUUCCAUUCAGCUGAGUGCCACCUACACGGGGACAGUCAGAGCCCACUGACCCAUCGCCGACCCUCAUCCAGGAUUCUCUGAGCCUCCCUCACCUCAAGUCCCAGCCUGAGCUUCGGCUGUCCAACGGGGGGUGAGAGACAGAUUUUUAGAUGCUGUGGAGCCAAAGAGAGGUUACUAGGGCUGGGCGACAUGGAACUUAGCCCCACCUUCCCACUGGGCCUCAGCGCCCCAGGGGAGACAGCUCCUGCUGGUACCACCCCUUCAACCCAGCCAAGCGGGUGGGGGGCUGCCUCAGCCCCUGCGGAAACGGAAACGCCCUGGAGUUCCCGCACCACCACCCUGCCCGACCAGGCCCUGUGGAGGUCCUCCUGACCUCCCCAAGUCUGCUUCCCGGCUCUGGACCUCGGUAAUGCCCUCCACCUCCCCUCAGUGGCUCCAGCCUCUCGUAUCUGAGUAUUACGCCAUUAGUCUAACCUCAAGCCCUCUUGCUGCUGACUUAAACUGUGACUUUCCAGGAUCUCUUCCUUGUGUGCACACACACACCCACACACACACAUGAGGAAUACACAGGAGCCCUAAAAAUUCAUUUGGUCCAUGCACCUCAAAACAAAGUCUACACUCUCACCUUCCUUAAAAUUCCCGCUUGUACUCCCAAUUUUC